CCUACGGGAGGCUGCAGUGAGGAAUAUUGGUCAAUGGGCGAGAGCCUGAACCAGCCAAGUCGCGUGAAGGAUGACUGUCUUAUGGAUUGUAAACUUCUUUUGUAGGGGAAUAAAGAAUGGUACGUGUACCAUAGUGAAUGUACCCUACGAAUAAGCAUCGGCUAACUCCGUGCCAGCAGCCGCGGUAAUACGGAGGAUGCGAGCGUUAUCCGGAUUUAUUGGGUUUAAAGGGUGCGUAGGCGGCCUGUUAAGUCAGCGGUGAAAUCUAGGGGCUUAACUCCUAAAUUGCCAUUGAUACUGGUGGGCUUGAGUGUAGAUGAGGUAGGCGGAAUGCGUGGUGUAGCGGUGGAAUGCAUAGAUAUCACGCAGAACUCCAAUUGCGAAGGCAGCUUACUAAGGUACAACUGACGCUGAAGCACGAAAGCGUGGGUAUCAAACAGGAUUAGAUACCCCAGUAGUC
rnacentral:rRNA from 1 species